rnacentral:rRNA from 1 species
UACGAAGGGGGCUAGCGUUGUCGGAAUCACUGGGCGUAAAGCGCACGUAGGCGGAUCUUAGUACAGAGUGGAAAUCCCGAAGGCUCAACCUUCGGAACUGCCUUUGAUACUGGGGCGAUCUUGAGUCCGGGAGAGGUGAGUGGAACUGCGAGUGUAGAGGUGAAAUUCGUAGAUAUUCGCAAGAACACCAGUGGCGAAGGCGGCUCACUGGCCCGGUACUGACGCUGAGGCACGAAAGCGUGGGGAGCAAACAGG